CCUGUUUAUCAAAAACAUCACCUCUAGCAAAUGUAAACAUGUAUUAGAGGCACUGCCUGCCCACUGAUUUUAUUCAACGGCCGCGGUAUUCUGACCGUGCAAAGGUAGCAUAAUCACUUGUCUUUUAAAUAAAGACUAGUAUGAACGGCGUCACGAAAGCCUAACUGUCUCCUUUACUUAGUCAAUGAAACUGAUCUUCACGUACAAAAGCGUGAAUAUUAAAAUAAGACGAGAAGACCCUAUGGAACUUAAAACACGCAGCCAUUUUAAUCUAACAUAACAGCAAUAAUACACCUGGAUUUCGCUGUUUUUGGUUGGGGCGACCACGGAGUAAAACACAACCUCCGAGAACAUCUACUAAGAUUAACAAAACAACGUACCAAAACUUUGGCCUUUAGACCCAAUAAACUUGAUCAUCGAACCAAGCUACCCUAGGGAUAACAGCGCAAUCUUCUUUCAGAGCCCUUAUCACCAAGAAGGUUUACGACCUCGAUGUUGGAUCAGGAUACCCAGACAGUGCAGCCGCCGUCAAAGGUUUGUUUGUUCAACAAUUAAUAAUCCUACGUGAUCUGAGUU
rnacentral:rRNA from 1 species